rnacentral:tRNA from 3 species
GCGGAGGUAGCCAAGCGGCCUACGGCGCCGGUCUUGAAAACCGGUGGAGCAUCUCCUCGAGGGUUCAAAUCCCUUCCUCCGCG